rnacentral:rRNA from 1 species
UACGAAGGGGGCUAGCGUUGCUCGGAUUGACUGGGCGUAAAGGGCGCGUAGGCGGCUAGUACAGUCAGAUGUGAAAUUCCCGGGCUCAACCUGGGGGCUGCAUUUGAUACGUGCUGGCUUGAGUUCGGAAGAGGGUCGUGGAAUUCCCAGUGUAGAGGUGAAAUUCGUAGAUAUUGGGAAGAACACCGGUGGCGAAGGCGGCGACCUGGUCCGAGACUGACGCUGAGGCGCGAAAGCGUGGGGAGCAAACAGG